CCUACGGGAGGCAGCAGUGGGGAAUAUUGCACAAUGGAGGAAACCCUGAUGCAGCGACGCCGCGUGAAGGACGAAGUAUUUCGGUACGUAAACUUCUGUCAGCAGGGAAGAAAAUGAGGGUACCUAACCAAGAAGCCCCGGCUACCUACGUGCCAGCAGCCGCGGUAAUACGUAGGGGGCAAGCGUUAUCCGGAUUUACUGGGUGUAAAGGGAGCGUAGACGGUCAUGCAAGUCUGAUGUGAAAACCCGCGGCUAAACCCCGGGACUGCAUUGGAAACUGUGCGGCUUGAGUGUAGGAGAGGCAAGUGGAAUUCCUAGUGUAGCGGUGAAAUGCUUAGAUAUUAGGAGGAACACCAGUGGCGAAGGCGGCUUGCUGGACGACGACUGACGUUGAGGCUCGAAAGCGUGGGGAGCAAACAGGAUUAGAUACCCUAGUAGUC
rnacentral:rRNA from 1 species